rnacentral:rRNA from 1 species
AUUGAACGCUGGCGGCAGGCCUAACACAUGCAAGUCGAGCGGAUGAAGGGAGCUUGCUCCUGGAUUCAGCGGCGGACGGGUGAGUAAUGCCUAGGAAUCUGCCUGGUAGUGGGGGAUAACGUCCGGAAACGGGCGCUAAUACCGCAUACGUCCUGAGGGAGAAAGUGGGGGAUCUUCGGACCUCACGCUCUCAGAUGAGCCUAGGUCGGAUUAGCUAGUUGGUGGGGUAAAGGCCUACCAAGGCGGGUAUCCGUAACUGGUCUGAGAGGAUGAUAAGUCGCAUUGGAAGGGGAACACGGACAAGACGACUAAGGGAGGCAGCAGACGGGAAUGGUGGACAAUGGUCGAAAGCCUGAUACAACCAUGGGGCGUGUGUGAAGGAGGUGUUCGGAUUGUAAAGCACGUUAAGGUGGGAGGAAGGGCAGUAAGUUAAGACCUAGCUGUUUUGACGUUACCAACAGAAGAAGCACCGGCUAACUUCGUG